UGUUGAACUUGAGAUUUGGGUGUUGGUUCAACUUAAAAGUUUGGCAUUUGUUGAACUUGAGUUUGUGUGUUUGUUGAACUUAAGUUUGUGUCUUGUUUGAACUUGAGUUUGUGGUGUUUUCAAACUUGAGUUUGUGUGUUUUUUGAACUUUAGUUUUUGGUGUCUGAACUUGAGUUUGUGGUGUUUUUGAACUUGAGUUUGAAUCGUGGUUGAACUUGAGUUUGUGGUGUUUUUGAACUUGAGAGUGUGUUGUGUUUUUGAACUUGAGGUUGUGGUGUUUUUGAACUUGAGUUUGUUUCGUGUUUGAACUUGAGUUUGUGGCGUUUGUUGAACUCUAGGUUGUGGCAAUUGUUGAACUUGAGAUUUGGGUGUUGGUUCAACUUAAAAGUUUGGCAUUUGUUGAACUUGAGUUUGUGUGUUUGUUGAACUUAAGUUUGUGUCUUGUUUGAACUUGAGUUUGUGGUGUUUUCAAACUUGAGUUUGUGUGUUUUUUGAACUUGAGGUGUUGGAAAUUGUGAAACUUGAGAUUUGGGUAUUGGUUGAACUUGAGUUUGUGUGUUUGUUGAACAAGAGAUUGUGUUGUGUUUUAACUUCAGUUUGUGGCGUUUUUUAAGCUUGAGGUUGUGGUGUUUUUGAACUUGAGUUUGUGGUGUUUUGUACUUGAGUUUGUGUUAUUUUUCAACUUGAGGUUGUGGAACUUGUUAAACUUGAGAAUCAGGUGUUGAUUGAACUUGAGUAUUUGUUUUUUUUUAACUUGAGUUUGUGUCGUGUUUGAGCUCGAGUUUGUGGUGUUUUUGAAUUUGAGUUUGCGUGUUUGUUAAACUUGAGUUUGUGUCGUGUUUUAAAUUGAGUUUGUUGUUUCUGAACUUGAGUUUGUGGCAAUUGUUGAACUUGAGUUUGACAUUUGUUGAACUUGGGUUUGUGGUUUUUGUUGAACUUGAGUUUGUGGUGUUUUUGAACUUGAGGUUGUGGAAUUUGUUAAACUUGAGAAUUGGGUAUUGGUUGAAAUUGAGUUUGUGUGUUUGUUGAACUCUAGGUUGUGGCAAUUGUUAAACUUGAGAUUUGGUUGUUGGUUGAACUUGAGUUUGUGUUGUGUUUGAACUUGAGUUCGUGUUGUUUGUUGAACUUGAAUUUGUGUGUUUUUUGAACUUAAUUUUUUUGAACUUGAGUUUGUGGCAAUUGUUGAACUUGAGUCUGUGGUUUUUGGUGAACUUUAAUUGGUGGCAAUUGUUGAACUUGAGUUUGUGGUGUUUUUGAACUUGAGUUUGUUUCGUGUUUGAACUUUGUUUGUGGUGUUUUUGAACUUGGGUUUUUGGUGUUUUUGAACUUGAGGGUGUGUUGUGUUUUUGAACUUGAGUUUGUGGUGUUUUUGAACUUGAGGUUGUUUCGUGUUUGAACUUGAGUUUGUGGCGUUUGUUGAACUCUAGGUUGUGGCAAUUGUUGAACUUGAGAUUUGGGUGUUGGUUCAACUUAAAAGUUUGGCAUUUGUUGAACUUGAGUUUGUGUGUUUGUUGAACUUAAGUUUGUGUCUUGUUUGAACUUGAGUUUGUGGUGUUUUCAAACUUGAGUUUGUGUGUUUUUUGAACUUUAGUUUUUGGUGUCUGAACUUGAGUUUGUGGUGUUUUUGAACUUGAGUUUGAAUCGUGGUUGAACUUGAGUUUGUGGUGUUUUUGAACUUGAGAGUGUGUUGUGUUUUUGAACUUGAGGUUGUGGUGUUUUUGAACUCUAGGUUGUGGCAAUUGUUGAACUUGAGAUUUGGGUGUUGGUUCAACUUAAAAGUUUGGCAUUUGUUGAACUUAAGUUUGUGUGUUUGUUGAACUUAAGUUUGUGUCUUGUUUGAACUUGAGUUUGUGGUGUUUUUUGAACUUUAGUUUUGGUGUCUUUGAACUUGAGUUUGUGGUGUUUUUGAACUUGAGUUUGAAUCGUGGUUGAACUUGAUUUUGUGGUGUUUUCGAAAUUGAGGGUGUGUUGUGUUUUUGAACUUGAGGUUGUGGUGUUUUUGAACUUUAGUUUUGGUGUCUUUGAACUUGAGUUUGUGGUGUUUUUGAACUUGAGUUUGAAUCAUGGUUGAACUUGAUUUUGUGGUGUUUUCGAAAUUGAGGGUGUGUUGUGUUUUUGAACUUGAGGUUGUGGUGUUUUUGAACUUGAGUUUGUUUCUUGUUUGCACUUGAGUUUGUGGCGUUUGUUGAACUCUAGGUUGUGGCAAUUGUUGAACUUGAGAUUUGGGUGUUGGUUCAACUUAAAAGUUUGGCAUUUGUUGAACUUGAGUUUGUGUGUUUGUUGAACUUAAGUUUGUGUCUUGUUUGAACUUGAGUUUGUGGUGUUUUCAAACUUGAGUUUGUGGUGUUUUUGAACUUGAGGUGUUGGAAAUUGUGAAACUUGAGAAUUGGGUAUUGGUUGAACUUGAGUUUGUGUGUUUGUUGAACAAGAGAUUGUGUUGUGUUUUAACUUCAGUUUGUAGUGUUUUUUGAACUUGAGGUUGUGGUGUUUUUGAACUUGAGUUUGUGGUGUUUUGUACUUGAGUUUGUGUUAUUUUUCAACUUGAGGUUGUGGAAAAACGUAAACUUGAGAUUUGGGUGUUGAUUGAACUUGAGUUUGUUUCGUGUUUGAUCUUGAGGUUGUGGUGUUUUUGAACUUGAGGUUUCUUGUUUGUUUAACUUGAGUUUGUGUGUUUGUUGAACUUGAGUUUGUGUUAUGUUUGAACUUGAGUUUGUGUCGUGUAUGAACUUGAGUUUGUGUCGUGUUUUUGAACUUGAGUUUUUGGUGUUUUUGAACUUGAGGGUGUGGAAUUUGUUAAACUUGAGAAUUGGGUAUUGGUUGAAUUUGAGUUUGUGUGUUUGUUGAACUUGAGUUUGUAUCAUGUUUGAACUUGAGUUUGUGGUCUUUUUGAACUUGAGUUUGUGUGUUUGUUGAACUCUAGGUUGUGGCAAUUGUUAAACUUGAGAUUUGGUUGUUGGUUGAACUUGAGUUUGUGUUGUGUUUGAACUUGAGUUCGUGUUGUUUGUUGAACUUGAAUUUGUGUGUUUUUUGAACUUAAUUUUUUUGAACUUAAGUUUGUGGCAAUUGUUGAACUUGAGUCUGUGGUUUUUGGUGAACUUUAAUUGGUGGCAAUUGUUGAACUUGAGUUUGUGGUGUUUUUGAACUUGAGUUUGUUUCGUGUUUGAACUUUGUUUGUGGUGUUUUUGAACUUGGGUUUUUGGUGUUUUUGAACUUGAGGGUGUGUUGUGUUUUUGAACUUGAGUUUGUGGUGUUUUUGAACUUGAGGUUGUUUCGUGUUUGAACUUGAGUUUGUGGCGUUUGUUGAACUCUAGGUUGUGGCAAUUGUUGAACUUGAGAUUUGGGUGUUGGUUCAACUUAAAAGUUUGGCAUUUGUUGAACUUGAGUUUGUGUGUUUGUUGAACUUAAGUUUGUGUCUUGUUUGAACUUGAGUUUGUGGUGUUUUCAAACUUGAGUUUGUGUGUUUUUUGAACUUUAGUUUUUGGUGUCUGAACUUGAGUUUGUGGUGUUUUUGAACUUGAGUUUGAAUCGUGGUUGAACUUGAGUUUGUGGUGUUUUUGAACUUGAGAGUGUGUUGUGUUUUUGAACUUGAGGUUGUGGUGUUUUUGAACUUGAGUUUGUUUCGUGUUUGAACUUGAGUUUGUGGCGUUUGUUGAACUCUAGGUUGUGGCAAUUGUUGAACUUGAGAUUUAGGUGUUGGUUCAACUUAAAAGUUUGGCAUUUGUUGAACUUGAGUUUGUGUGUUUGUUGAACUUAAGUUUGUGUCUUGUUUGAACUUGAGUUUGUGGUGUUUUCAAACUUGAGUUUGUGUGUUUUUUGAACUUGAGGUGUUGGAAAUUGUGAAACUUGAGAUUUGGGUAUUGGUUGAACUUGAGUUUGUGUGUUUGUUGAACAAGAGAUUGUGUUGUGUUUUAACUUCAGUUUGUGGCGUUUUUUAAGCUUGAGGUUGUGGUGUUUUUGAACUUGAGUUUGUGGUGUUUUGUACUUGAGUUUGUGUUAUUUUUCAACUUGAGGUUGUGGAACUUGUUAAACUUGAGAAUCAGGUGUUGAUUGAACUUGAGUAUUUGUUUUUUUUUAACUUGAGUUUGUGUCGUGUUUGAGCUCGAGUUUGUGGUGUUUUUGAAUUUGAGUUUGCGUGUUUGUUAAACUUGAGUUUGUGUCGUGUUUUAAAUUGAGUUUGUUGUUUCUGAACUUGAGUUUGUGGCAAUUGUUGAACUUGAGUUUGACAUUUGUUGAACUUGGGUUUGUGGUUUUUGUUGAACUUGAGUUUGUGGUGUUUUUGAACUUGAGGUUGUGGAAUUUGUUAAACUUGAGAAUUGGGUAUUGGUUGAAAUUGAGUUUGUGUGUUUGUUGAACUCUAGGUUGUGGCAAUUGUUAAACUUGAGAUUUGGUUGUUGGUUGAACUUGAGUUUGUGUUGUGUUUGAACUUGAGUUCGUGUUGUUUGUUGAACUUGAAUUUGUGUGUUUUUUGAACUUAAUUUUUUUGAACUUGAGUUUGUGGCAAUUGUUGAACUUGAGUCUGUGGUUUUUGGUGAACUUUAAUUGGUGGCAAUUGUUGAACUUGAGUUUGUGGUGUUUUUGAACUUGAGUUUGUUUCGUGUUUGAACUUUGUUUGUGGUGUUUUUGAACUUGGGUUUUUGGUGUUUUUGAACUUGAGGGUGUGUUGUGUUUUUGAACUUGAGUUUGUGGUGUUUUUGAACUUGAGGUUGUUUCGUGUUUGAACUUGAGUUUGUGGCGUUUGUUGAACUCUAGGUUGUGGCAAUUGUUGAACUUGAGAUUUGGGUGUUGGUUCAACUUAAAAGUUUGGCAUUUGUUGAACUUGAGUUUGUGUGUUUGUUGAACUUAAGUUUGUGUCUUGUUUGAACUUGAGUUUGUGGUGUUUUCAAACUUGAGUUUGUGUGUUUUUUGAACUUUAGUUUUUGGUGUCUGAACUUGAGUUUGUGGUGUUUUUGAACUUGAGUUUGAAUCGUGGUUGAACUUGAGUUUGUGGUGUUUUUGAACUUGAGAGUGUGUUGUGUUUUUGAACUUGAGGUUGUGGUGUUUUUGAACUCUAGGUUGUGGCAAUUGUUGAACUUGAGAUUUGGGUGUUGGUUCAACUUAAAAGUUUGGCAUUUGUUGAACUUAAGUUUGUGUGUUUGUUGAACUUAAGUUUGUGUCUUGUUUGAACUUGAGUUUGUGGUGUUUUUUGAACUUUAGUUUUGGUGUCUUUGAACUUGAGUUUGUGGUGUUUUUGAACUUGAGUUUGAAUCGUGGUUGAACUUGAUUUUGUGGUGUUUUCGAAAUUGAGGGUGUGUUGUGUUUUUGAACUUGAGGUUGUGGUGUUUUUGAACUUUAGUUUUGGUGUCUUUGAACUUGAGUUUGUGGUGUUUUUGAACUUGAGUUUGAAUCGUGGUUGAACUUGAUUUUGUGGUGUUUUCGAAAUUGAGGGUGUGUUGUGUUUUUGAACUUGAGGUUGUGGUGUUUUUGAACUUGAGUUUGUUUCUUGUUUGCACUUGAGUUUGUGGCGUUUGUUGAACUCUAGGUUGUGGCAAUUGUUGAACUUGAGAUUUGGGUGUUGGUUCAACUUAAAAGUUUGGCAUUUGUUGAACUUGAGUUUGUGUGUUUGUUGAACUUAAGUUUGUGUCUUGUUUGAACUUGAGUUUGUGGUGUUUUCAAACUUGAGUUUGUGGUGUUUUUGAACUUGAGGUGUUGGAAAUUGUGAAACUUGAGAAUUGGGUAUUGGUUGAACUUGAGUUUGUGUGUUUGUUGAACAAGAGAUUGUGUUGUGUUUUAACUUCAGUUUGUAGUGUUUUUUGAACUUGAGGUUGUGGUGUUUUUGAACUUGAGUUUGUGGUGUUUUGUACUUGAGUUUGUGUUAUUUUUCAACUUGAGGUUGUGGAAAAACGUAAACUUGAGAUUUGGGUGUUGAUUGAACUUGAGUUUGUUUCGUGUUUGAUCUUGAGGUUGUGGUGUUUUUGAACUUGAGGUUUCUUGUUUGUUUAACUUGAGUUUGUGUGUUUGUUGAACUUGAGUUUGUGUUAUGUUUGAACUUGAGUUUGUGUCGUGUAUGAACUUGAGUUUGUGUCGUGUUUUUGAACUUGAGUUUUUGGUGUUUUUGAACUUGAGGGUGUGGAAUUUGUUAAACUUGAGAAUUGGGUAUUGGUUGAAUUUGAGUUUGUGUGUUUGUUGAACUUGAGUUUGUAUCAUGUUUGAACUUGAGUUUGUGGUCUUUUUGAACUUGAGUUUGUGUGUUUGUUGAACUCUAGGUUGUGGCAAUUGUUAAACUUGAGAUUUGGUUGUUGGUUGAACUUGAGUUUGUGUUGUGUUUGAACUUGAGUUCGUGUUGUUUGUUGAACUUGAAUUUGUGUGUUUUUUGAACUUAAUUUUUUUGAACUUAAGUUUGUGGCAAUUGUUGAACUUGAGUCUGUGGUUUUUGGUGAACUUUAAUUGGUGGCAAUUGUUGAACUUGAGUUUGUGGUGUUUUUGAACUUGAGUUUGUUUCGUGUUUGAACUUUGUUUGUGGUGUUUUUGAACUUGGGUUUUUGGUGUUUUUGAACUUGAGGGUGUGUUGUGUUUUUGAACUUGAGUUUGUGGUGUUUUUGAACUUGAGGUUGUUUCGUGUUUGAACUUGAGUUUGUGGCGUUUGUUGAACUCUAGGUUGUGGCAAUUGUUGAACUUGAGAUUUGGGUGUUGGUUCAACUUAAAAGUUUGGCAUUUGUUGAACUUGAGUUUGUGUGUUUGUUGAACUUAAGUUUGUGUCUUGUUUGAACUUGAGUUUGUGGUGUUUUCAAACUUGAGUUUGUGUGUUUUUUGAACUUUAGUUUUUGGUGUCUGAACUUGAGUUUGUGGUGUUUUUGAACUUGAGUUUGAAUCGUGGUUGAACUUGAGUUUGUGGUGUUUUUGAACUUGAGAGUGUGUUGUGUUUUUGAACUUGAGGUUGUGGUGUUUUUGAACUUGAGUUUGUUUCGUGUUUGAACUUGAGUUUGUGGCGUUUGUUGAACUCUAGGUUGUGGCAAUUGUUGAACUUGAGAUUUGGGUGUUGGUUCAACUUAAAAGUUUGGCAUUUGUUGAACUUGAGUUUGUGUGUUUGUUGAACUUAAGUUUGUGUCUUGUUUGAACUUGAGUUUGUGGUGUUUUCAAACUUGAGUUUGUGUGUUUUUUGAACUUGAGGUGUUGGAAAUUGUGAAACUUGAGAUUUGGGUAUUGGUUGAACUUGAGUUUGUGUGUUUGUUGAACAAGAGAUUGUGUUGUGUUUUAACUUCAGUUUGUGGUGUUUUUUAAGCUUGAGGUUGUGGUGUUUUUGAACUUGAGUUUGUGGUGUUUUGUACUUGAGUUUGUGUUAUUUUUCAACUUGAGGUUGUGGAACUUGUUAAACUUGAGAAUCAGGUGUUGAUUGAACUUGAGUAUUUGUUUUUUUUUAACUUGAGUUUGUGUCGUGUUUGAGCUCGAGUUUGUGGUGUUUUUGAAUUUGAGUUUGCGUGUUUGUUAAACUUGAGUUUGUGUCGUGUUUUAAAUUGAGUUUGUUGUUUCUGAACUUGAGUUUGUGGCAAUUGUUGAACUUGAGUUUGACAUUUGUUGAACUUGGGUUUGUGGUUUUUGUUGAACUUGAGUUUGUGGUGUUUUUGAACUUGAGGUUGUGGAAUUUGUUAAACUUGAGAAUUGGGUAUUGGUUGAAAUUGAGUUUGUGUGUUUGUUGAACUUGAGUUUGUGUCGUGUUUGAACUUCGGUUUGUGGUGUUUUUUGAGCUUGAGGUUGUGGUGUUUCUGAACUUGAGUUUGUGUUGCUUUUGAAGUUUAGGUUGUGGCAAUUUCUAAAAUUGAGAUUUGGGUGUUGGUUGAACUUAAAAGUUUGUCAUUUGUUGAACUUCAGUUUGUGGAAAUUGUUAAAAUUGAGGAUUGGGUGUUGGUUGAACUUGAGUUUGUGGUGUUUGUUGAACUUGAGUUUGUGAGGUGUUUGAACUUGAGUUUGUGGUGUUUUUGAACUUGAGUUUUUGGUGUUCGUUGAACUCGAGUUUGUGUCGUGUUUGAACUUGAGUUUGUGGCGUUUUUGAACUUUAGGUUGUUUGCAAUUGUGAAACUUGAGUUUUGGGUGUUGGUUGAACUUAAAAUUUUGACAUUUGUUGAACUUGAAUUUGUGGUGUUUGUUGAACUUUUGUUUGUGUCAUGUUUGAACUUGAGUUUAUGGUGUUUUUGAACUUGAGGUUGUGGUGUUUUUGAACUUGAGUUUGUGGCGUGUUUGAACUUGAGGUUGUUGCAAUUGUUAAAUUGAGAUUUUGGUGUUGGUUGAACUUAAAACUUUGACAUUUGUUGAACUUGAGUUUGAGCUGUUUGUUUAACAUUAGUUUGUGUCAUUUUUGUACUUGAGUUUGUUGUGUUUUUGAACUUGAGUUUGUGGAAAUUGUUAAACUUGAGAAUCGGGUGUUGGUUCAACUUGGUUUUCUGUUGUUUUUGAACUUGAGGUUGUGGAAAUUGUUAAACUUGAGAAUCAGGUGUUGGUUGAAGUUGAGUUUGUGUGUUUGUUGAACUUGAGUUUGUGUCGUGUUCGAACUUGAGUUUGUGGUAUUUUUGAAAUUGAGUUUGUGUGUUUGUUGAUCUUGAGGUUAUGGAAAUUGUUAAACCCCAAAAUUGGGUAUUGGUUGAACUUGAGUUUGUGUUGUUUUUGAACUUGAGUUUGUGUAGUGUUUGAACUUGAGUUUGUGGUGUUUUUUGAGCUUGAGGUUGUGGUGUUUUUGAGCUUGAGAUUGUGGCGUGUUUGAACUUGAGUUUGUGGUGGUUUUUGAACUUGAGGUUGUGAAAAUUGUUAAAACUUGAGAAUCAGGUGUUGGUUGAACUUGAGUUUGUGGUUUUUUUUUAGCUUGAGUUUGUGGUUUUUGUUGAACUUGAGUUUUUGUCGUUUUUGAGCUUGAGGUUUUGGUGUUUUUAAACUUGAGUUUGCGUGUUUGUUUAACUCGAGUUUGUGUGUUUUUUUAACUUGAGUUUGUUGUUUCUGAACUUGAGGUUUUGGCAAUUGUUGAACUUGAGUCUGUUGUUUUUAGUGAACUUUAGUUGGUGGCAAUUGUUGAACUUGAGUUUGUGGCAUUUGUUAAACUUGAGUUUGUGACGUGUUUAAACAUGAUUUUGUGGUGUUUUUGAACUCGAGUUUGUGGUGUUUUUGAACUUGAGGUUGUGGAAAUUGUUAAACUUGAGAAUUGGGUAUUGGUUGAACUUGAGUUUGUGUUUUUUUUGAACUUGAGUUUGUGUCAUGUUUGAACUUCAGUUUGUGGUGUUUUUGAACUCGAGUCUUUGUGUUUGUUGAACUUCAGUUUGUGUCGUGUUUGAACUUGAGUUUGUGGUGUUUUUUGAACUUGAGGUUGUGUGUUUUUUUGAACUUGAGUUUGUGGCGGUUUUUGAACUUGAGGUUGUGGCAAUUGUUGAACUUGAGUUUGUGACGUGUUUGAACUUGAUUUUGUGGUGUUUUUGAACUUGAGUUUGUGGUGUUUUUUUAACUUGAGUUCGUGGUGUUUGUGGAAUUUGAGUUUGUGUCGUUUGAACUUGAGGUUGUGUUGUUUUUGAACUCGAGUUUUUGUGUUUGUUGAACUUCAGUUUGUGUCGUGUUUGAACUUGAGUUUGUGGUGUUUUUUGAACUUGAGGUUGUGGUGUUUUUGACUUGAGUUCGUGGCGUGUUUGAACUUGAGGUUGUUGCAAUUGUUAAACUUGAGAUUUGGGUGUUGGUUGAACUUAAAACUUUGCCAUUUGUUGAACUUGAGUUAGUGGUGUAUGUUGAACUCCAGCUUGUGUUGUGUUUGAACUUGAGGUCGUGGUAUUUUUGAAUUGAGUUUGUGGAGGUUUUUGAACUUGAGUUUGUGGCGUGUUUGAACUUGAGAUUGUGGCGUGUUUGAACUUGAGUUUGUGGUGGUUUUUGAACUUGAGGUUGUGAAAAUUGUUAAAACUUGAGAAUCAGGUGUUGGUUGAACUUGAGUUUGUGGUUUUUGUUGAACUUGAUUUUGUGCUUUGAUUGAACUUUAGUUUAUGUUUUUUUUUUGUACUUGAGUUUGUGUUGUUUUUGAACUUGAGGUUGUGGAAAUUGUAAAAACUUGAGAAUCAGGUGUUGGUUGAACUUGAGUUUGUGUGUUUUUUUAACUUGAGUUUGUUGUUUCUGAACUUGAGGUUUUGGCAAUUGUUGAACUUGAUAAUUGGGUAUUGGUUGAACUUGAGUUUGUGUGUUUGUUGAACUUGAGUUUGUGUCGUGUUUGAACUUCAGUUUGUGGUGUUUUUUGAACUUGAGUUUUUGGUGUCUUUGAACUUGAGGUUGUGGCAAUUGUUGAAUUUAAGUUUGUGACGUGUUUGAACUUGAUUUUGUGGUGUUUUUGAACUCGAGUUUGUUUUGUUUUUGAACUUGAGUUUGUGGUGUUUGUUGAACUUGAGUUUGUGUCGUGUUUGAACUUGAGGUUGUGGUGUUUUUGAACUCGAGUUUUUGUGUUUGUUGAACUUCAGUUUGUGUCGUGUUUGAACUUGAGUUUGUGGUGUUUUUUGAACUUGAGGUUGUGGUGUUUUUGAACUUGAGUUUGUGGCGGUUUUUGAACUUGAGGUUGUUGCAAUUGUUGAACUUGAAAUAAAAACCCAAAUAUGAACCCAAAUAUAUAUUUUUUCUUUUUACAUUUUUUUUGGUGUAACCAACUCCAAAAGGUCUUAAACAUGUUCCUAAAAAAAUUUUGGACAGUGAUUUUAAACCUAACGCCUAAAACCUUAAACCUUACCCUAGCCCCAUAACCUAAUACCCGGGUAUUAACUUCAGGAAGCCCAAAAACCCCAAAUAUUUUUUUUUCAUUGUUCGUUUUUUUUUUGGUCUAACUAACACCAAAAGGUUGGAAAGAGGUCCUACAAAGGUUUUGGACAGUGAUUUUAACACUCACGUCAAAAACCUUAAACCUUACUAUAGCCCCAUGACCUAAUACCCGGGUAUUACCUUCAGAAGCCCAAAAACCCCAAAUAUUUUUUUUUUAUUUUUCGUUAGUUUUUGCUCUAUCUAACUCCAAAAGGUUGGAAAAGAGUUCCUACAAAGGUUUUGGACAGUGAUUUUAACCCUAACGCCAAAAACCUUAAACCUUACCCUAGCCCCAUAACCUCAUACCCGGUUAUUUCCUUAAGGAAGCCCGAAGACCCCAAAUAUAUUUUUUUCAUUUUUUUUUUUUUGGUCUAACUUGCUCUCAAAGGUUGGAAAAGAGUUCCUACAAAGGUUUUGGACAUUGAUUUUAACCCUAACGCCAAAAAACUUAAAGCAUUACCCUAGCCCAGAAACCUAGUAUUACCUUCAGGAAGCCCGAACACCCAAAAAAAAUUCUUUUUCUUUUUACAUUUUUUUUGGUGUAACCAACUCCAAAAGGUCUGAAACAUGUUCCUAAAAAGGUUUUGGACAUUGAUUUUAACCCUAACACCAAAAAACCUUAAACCUUACCCGAGCCCCAUAACCUAAUACGGGUAUUUCCUUCAGGAAGCCCGAAGACCCCAAAUAUGUUUUUUUCUUUUUUCUUUUUUUUUGGUCUAACUAACUCCAAAAGGUUGGAAAAGAGUUCCUACAAAGGUUUUGGACAGUGAUUUUAACCCUAACACCAAAAACCUUAAACCUUACCCUAGCCCCAAAACCUAAUACCCGGGUAUUACCUUCAGGAAGCCCGAACACCCCAAAUAUAUUUUUUUUCAUUUCACAUUUUUUUUUGGUGUAACAAACUCCAAAAGGUCUUAAACAUGUUCCUAAAAAGGUUUUGGUCAGUGAUUUUAACCCUAACGCCAAAAACCUUUAACCUUACUAUAGCCCCAUAACCAAAUACCCGGGUAUUACCUUCAGGAAACCCGAACACCCCAAAUAUUUUUUUUCAUUUUUCGUUUUUUUUUGGUCUAACUAACUCCAAAAGGUUGGAAAAUAGUUCCUACAAAGGUUUUGGACAGUGAUUUUAACCCUAACGCCAAAAACCUUAAACCUUACUAUAGCCCCAUAACCUAAUACCCAGGUAUUACCUUCAGGAAGCUUGAACACCCCAAAUAUUUUUUUUUCAUUUUACAUUUUUUUUGGUGUAACCUACUCCAAAAGGUCUGAAACAUGUUCCUAAAAAGGUUUUGGACAUUGAUUUUAACCCUAACACCAAAAAACCUUAAACCUUACCCUAGCCCCAUAACCUAAUACCCGGGUAUUUCCUUCAGGAAGCCCGAAGACCCCAAAUAUAUUUUUUUCUUUUUUCUUUUUUUUUUGGUCUAACUAACUCCAAAAGGUUGGAAAAGAGUUCCUACAAAGGUUUUGGACAGUGAUUUUAACCCUAACACCAAAAACCUUAAACCUUACCCUAGCCCCAAAACCUAAUACCCGGGUAUUACCUUCAGGAAGCCCGAACACCCAAAAAAAAUUUUUUUUCAUUUUACAUUUUUUUUGGUGUAACCAACUCCAAAAGGUCUGAAACAUGUUCCUAAAAAGGUUUUGGACAGUGAUUUUAACCCUUACGCCAAAAACCUUAAACCUUACCCUAGCCCCAUAACCUAAUACCCGGGUAUUACCUUCAGGAAGCCCGAACACCCCAAAUAUUUUUUUUUCAUUUAUCUUUUUUUUGUCUAACUAAUUCCCAAAGGUUGGAAAAGAGUUCCUACAAAGGUUUUGGACAGUGAUUUUUACCCUCACGCCGAAAUACCUUAAACCUUACCCUAGCCCCAUAACCUAAUACCCGGGUAUUACCUUCAGGAAGCCCGAACACCCCAAAUAUAUAUUUUUUAUUUUUCUAUUUGUUUUGGUCUAACUUGCUCUCAAAGGUUGGAAAAGAGUUCCUACAAAGGAUUUGGACAUUGAUUUCAACCCUAACGCCAAAAAACUUAAACAUUACCCUAGCCCAGAAACCUAAUACCCGGGUAUUACCUUCAGGAAGCCCGAACACCCAAAAUAAAUUUUUUUUCAUUUUACAUUUUUUUUGGUGUAACCAACUCCAAAAGGUCUGAAACAUGUUCCUUAAAAGGUUUUGGACAGUGAUUUUAACCCUUACGCCAAAAACCUUAAACCUUACCCCAGCCCCAUAACCUAAUACCCGGGUAUUACCUUCAGGAAGCCCGAACACCCCAAAUAUUUUUUUUUCAUUUAUCUUUUUUUUUUUUGUCUAACUAACUCCAAAAGGUUGGAAAAUAGUUCCUACAAAGGUUUUGGACAGUGAUUUUAACCCUAACGCCAAAAACCUUAAACCUUACUAUAGCCCCAUAACCUAAUACCCGGGUAUUACCUUCAGGAAGCUUGAACACCCCAAAUAUUUUUUUUUCAUUUUACAUUUUUUUUUUGGUGUAACCUACUCCAAAAGGUCUGAAACAUGUUCCUAAAAAGGUUUUGGACAUUGAUUUUAACCCUAACGCCAAAAACCUUAAACCUUACCCUAGCCCCAUAACCUAAUACCUGGGUAUUUCCUUCAGGAAGCCCGAAGACCCCAAAUAUAUUUUUUUCUUUUUUCUUUUUUUGGUCUAACUAACUCCCAAAGGUCUGAAACAUGUUCCUUAAAAAAUAUUGGACAGUUAUUUUAACCCUAACGCCAAAAACCUUAAACCUAACCCUAGCCCCAAAACCUAAUUACCUUACCUUCAGGAAGCCCGAACACCCCAAAUAUUUUUUUUUCAUUUUACAUUUUUUUUUUGGUGUAACCAACUCUAAAAGGUCUUAAACAUGUUCCUAAAAAGGUUUUGGACACUGAUUUUAACUCUAACACCAAAAACCUUAAACCUUACCCUAGCCCCAUAACCUAAUACCCGGGUAUUACCUUCAGGAAACCCGAACACCCCAAAUAUAUAUUUUUUUCUUUUUUUUUUUUUUUGGUCUAACUAACUCCCAAAGGUCUGAAACAUGUUCCUUAAAAAAUAUUGGACAGUUAUUUUAACCCUAACGCCAAAAACCUUAAACCUAACCCUAGCCCCAAAACCUAAUACCCGGGUAUUACCUUCAGGAAGCCCGAACACCCCAAAUAUUUUUUUUUCAUUUAUCUUUUUUUUUUUGUCUAACUAACUCCAAAAGGUUGGAAAAUAGUUCCUACAAAGGUUUUGGACAGUGAUUUUAACCCUAUCGCCAAAAACCUUAAACCUUACUAAAGCCCCAUAACCUAAUACCCGGGAAUAACCUUCAGGAAGCUUGAACACCCCAAAUAUUUUUUUUUCAUUUUACAAUUUUUUUUGGUCUAACUAACUCCAAAAGGUCUGAAACAUGUUCCUAAAAAGGUUUUGGACAGUGAUUUUAACCCUUACGCCAAAAACCUUAAACCUUACCCUAGCCCCAUAACCUAAUACCCGGGUAUUACCUUCAGGAAACCCGAACACCCCAAAUAUUUUUUUUUUCUUUUUCUUUUUUUUUUGUCUAACUAACUCCCAAAGGUCUGAAACAUGUUCCUUAAAAAAAAUUGGACAGUUAUUUUAACCCUAACGCCAAAAACCUUAAACCUAACCCUAGCCCCAAAACCUAAUACUUCAGGAAGCUUGAACACCCCAAAUAUUUUUUUUUCAUUUUACAUUUUUUUGGGUGUUACCAAUUCCAAAAGGUCUGAAACAUGUUCCUAAAAAGGUUUUGGACAGUGAUUUUAGCCCGAACACCCCAAAUAUUUUUUUUCAUUUUUCAUUUUUUUUUGGUCUAACUAACUCCAAAAGGUUGGAAAAUAGUUCCUACAAAGGUUUUGGACAGUGAUUUUAACCCUAACGCCAAAAACCUUAAACCUUACUAUAGCCCCAUAACCUAAUACCCGGGUAUUACCUUCAGGAAGCUUGAACACCCCAAAUAUUUUUUUUUCAUUUUACAUUUUUUUUGGUGUUACCAACUCCAAAAGGUCUGAAACAUGUUCCUAAAAAGGUUUUGGACAGUGAUUUUAACCCUAACACCAAAAACCUUAAACCUUACCCUUGCCCCAUAACCUAUUACCUGGGUAUUUUCUUCAGGAAGCCCGAACACCCCAAAUAUAUAUUUUUUAUUAUUCUUUUUUUUUUUUUGGUCUAACUAACUCCAAAAGGUCGGAAAAACAUUCCUACAAAGGUUUUGGACAGUGAUUUUAACCCUAACGCCAAAAACCUUAAACCUUACACUAGCCCCAAAACCUAAUACCCGGGUAUUACCUUCAGGAAACCCGAACACCCCAAAUAUAUUUUUUUUCUUUUUCUUUUUUUUUUGUCUAACUAACUCCCAAAGGUCUGAAACAUGUUCCUUUAAAAAUAUUGGACAGUUAUUUUAACCCUAACGCCAAAAACCUUAAACCUAACCCUAGCCCCAAAACCUAAUACCCAGGUAUUACCUUCAGGAAGCCCGAACACCCCAAAUAUUUUUUUUUCAUUUAUCUUAUUUUUUUUGUCUAACUUAUUCCCAAAGGUUGGAAAAGAGUUCCUACAAAGGUUUUGGACAGUGAUUUUUACCCUCACGCCGAAAAACCUUAAACCUUACCCUAGCCCCAUAACCUAAUACCCGGGUAUUACCUUCAGGAAGCCCGAACACCCCAAAUAUACAUUUUUUAUUUUUCUUUUUGUUUUGGUCUAACUUGCUCUCAAAGGUUGGAAAAGAAAUCCUACAAAGGUUUUGGACAUUGAUUUUAACCCUAACGCCAAAAACCUAAAACAUUACCCUAGCCCAGAAACCUAGUAUUACCUUCAGGAAGCCCGAACACCCAAAAAAAAUUCUUUUUCAUUUUACAUUUUUUUUGGUGUAACCAACUCCAAAAGGUCUGAAACAUGUUCCUAAAAAGGUUUUGGACAGUGAUUUUAACCCUUACGCCAAAAACCUUAAACCCUUCCCUAGCCCCAUAACCUAAUACCUUGGUAUUACCUUCAGGAAGCCCGAACACCCCAAAUAUUUUUUUUCAUUUUUCGUUUUUUUUUGGUCUAACUAACUCCAAAAGGUUGGAAAAUAGUUCCUACAAAGGUUUUGGACAGUGAUUUUAACCCUAACGCCGAAAACCUUAAACCUUACUAUAGCCCCAUAACCUAAUACCCGGGUAUUACCUUCAGGAAGCUUGAACACCCCAAAUAUUUUUUUUUCAUUUUACAUUUUUUUUUGGUGUAACCUACUCCAAAAGGUCUGAAACAUGUUCCUAAAAAGGUUUUGGACAUUGAUUUUAACCCUAACGCCAAAAAACUUAAACCUUACCCUAGCCCCAUAACCUAAUACCUGGGUAUUUCCUUCAGGAAGCCCGAAGACCCCAAUAUAUUUUUUUCAUUUUUUUUUUUUUUGGUCUAACUAACUCCAAAAGGUUGGAAAAGAGUUCCUACAAAGGUUUUGGACAGUGAUUUUAACCCUAACACGAAAAACCUUAAACCUUACCCUAGCCCCAAAACCUAAUACCCGGGUAUUACCUUCAGGAAGCCCGAACACCCCACAUAUUUUUUUUUUCAUUUUACAUUUUUUUUUGGGUGUAACCAACUCCAAAAGGUCUUAAACAUGUUCCUUAAAAGGUUUUGGACACUGAUUUUAACUCUAACGCCAAAAACCUUAAACCUUACCCUAGCCCCAUAACCUAAUACCCGGGUAUUACCUUCAGGAAACCCGAACACCCCAAAUAUUUAGGGCCCGAGCCAGCUGCAGAGCAGCCGGGCGUAGGCCCUGUUAUUCCUGUAGGGGUUUUUAGGGCCCGAGCGUAGCUGCUAAGCAGCUGCGAGAGCCCUCUUGUUCCUGUAGUUUCCUUCUUUUGUUAUUAGGGCCCGAGCGUAGCUGCUAAGCAGCUGCGAGAGCCCUCUUGUUCCUGUAGUUUCCUUCUUUUGUUAUUAUUAUUAUUAUUUUUCCUCCCCUUUGAACUGGAAAAUGGCCCACUUCCCACUGGCGAAAACUCAUGAAAUUUGGCAGGACGACCGGGCCUGGUGAAAAAUUUGAUAUUCCGAAGUCGCCCAAACAAGAAAAUGCAAAAUGGCUCCAUAGCGCCCCCUAAGGGGAAAAUUCACACUAUUCACUGUCACGCCGGUACGCUUUGUCAAAAUGACACAAAAAUUGACACACACAUGUAUCUCAAUAAGAUCUACAAAAAAGUCAGUGCGGGCGUAUCUGUCAAAUGUACGGUUAAAGGGUUAUUUCGCAUUUUUUGCCGAUCCGCACACAUUGGAAUUUCGCUAACUCCUCCGAAGGCUUUCGUUCCACCGGCACCACAUUUGCUCAGGCCAAUCUACACCCCAUGGCCAUUAAAAGUUAUUCAAAUCAUGACGCUGCACCCCACGGUUUAGGUUCUAGGGGGCGCCAAAGAUAACCCUAAGAUCCACAUAUUUAAAAGUCUUAUAACUUUUUAUUUUUGCCCUCACUGGCCUCCAAGUUUUCUAGGAUGAUGCAAUGUCCAGCCAUCAACACAUUUGUGAAGGAAUUUUUACUCCCCAAAAGAGCGCCCCCCAUGGCAGGAGAAAAAAGUCCAUUUUUUCUUGUCCCCUAAGGUGAAAAUACACAUUGUUGAGUGUAACACCUGUACGCUUUGGCAAAAUGACACAAAAAUUGACACACACAUGUAUCUCAAUAAGAUCUACGAAAAAGUCAAUGCGCGCGUAUCUGUCAAAUGUACGGUUAAAGGGUUAUUCCGCAUUUUUUGCCGAUCCGCACACAUUGGAAUUUCGCUAACUCCUCCGAAGGCUUUCGUUCCACCGGCACCACAUUUGCUCAGGCCAAUCUACACCCCAUGGCCAUUAAAAGUUAUUCAAAUCAUGACGCUGCACCCCACGGUUUAGGUUCUAGGGGGAGCCAAAGAUAACCGUAAAAUCCACAUAUUUAAAAGUCUUAUAACUUUUUAUUUUUGUCCCCACUGGCCUCCAAGUUUUCUAGGAUGAUGCAAUGUCCAGCCAUCAACACAUUUGUGAAGGAAUUUUUACUCGGCAAAAGAGCGCCCCGCCAUGGCAGGAGAAAAAAGUCAAUUUUUUCUUGUCCACUAAGGUGAAAAUACACAUUGUUGAGUGCUACGCCUGUAUGUUUUGUCGUAUUGACAAAAAAUUUUACAUACACGUGUAUUUACAUAAGAUCUUCGAAAAAGUCAAUGGCCACGUAUCUGUAAAAUGUACGGUUAAAGGGUUAUUUCGCAUUUUUUGCAGAUUCGCACACAUUGGAAUUUCGCUAAUUCCUCCGAAGGCUUUCGUUCCACCGGCACCACAUUUGCUCAGGCCAAUCUACACCCCAUGGCCAUUAAAAGUUAUUCAAAUCAUGACGCUGCACCCCACGGUUUAGGUUCUAGGGCGCGCCAAAUAUAACCCUAAAAUCCACAUAUUUAAAAGUCUUAUAACUUUUUAUUUUUGUCCUCACUGGCCUCCAUGUUUUCUAGGAUGAUGCAAUGUCCAGCCAUCAACACAUUUGUGAAGGAGUUUUUCUCUUUAAAAGAGCGCCCCCCAUGGCAGGAGAAUAAAGUCAAGUUUUUCCUGUUCAUCAUUCAAUGGCUCAAACGCACUGCUCUCUCGGCAAAAGCGAAAGGAGGAGCAACUUGCCAUUUGGAUAUAUCUUAGCUGUGUUUGUGCCCUCACUCAUGGUCCAGACUUUUUCAAAUAGGACAUGGAGUUUUUCUGCAGCGAGCGUUUUGGUAGAAACUGCGCCUCCCGUUCAUUAUAAUGGUAAAUGACCACAAACAAGUGCGCACACCAUCUUUGGACCUUGAGUGUGACGCGAUCGGGUGGGGGAGGCGGUCGCGCUGGGGGCGGCGUGACACGGCUCGGGCCCGCCAGUGCCCCAACGGGGCCCUAGUUAUUAUUUUUCCUCCCCUUUGAACUUGAAAAUGGCCCACUUCCCACUGGCGAAAACUCAUGAAAUUUGGCAGGACGACCGGGCCUGGUGAAAAAUUUGAUAUUCCGAAGUCGCCCAAACAAGAAAAUGCAAAAUGGCUCCAUAGCGCCCCCUAAGGUGAAAAUUCACACUAUUCACUGUCACGCCUGUACGCUUUGUCAAAAUGACACAAAAAUUGACACACACAUGUAUCUCAGUAAGAUCUACAAAAAAGUCAGUGCGGGCGUAUCUGUCAAAUGUACGGUUAAAGGGUUAUUUCGCAUUUUUUGCCGAUCCGCACACAUUGGAAUUUCGCUAACUCCUCCGAAGGCUUUCGUUCCACCGGCACCACAUUUGCUCAGGCCAAUCUACACCCCAUGGCCAUUAAAAGUUAUUCAAAUCAUGACGCUGCACCCCACGGUUUAGGUUCUAGGGGGCGCCAAAAAUAACCCUAAAAUCCACAUAUUUAAAAGUCUUAUAACUUUUUAUUUUUGCCCUCACUGGCCUCCAAGUUUUCUAGGAUGAUGCAAUGUCCAGCCAUCAACACAUUUGUGAAGGAAUUUUUACUCCCCAAAAGAGCGCCCCCCAUGGCAGGAGAAAAAAGUCCAUUUUUUCUUGUCCCCUAAGGUGAAAAUACACAUUGUUGAGUGUAACACCUGUACGCUUUGGCAAAAUGACACAAAAAUUGACACACACAUGUAUCUCAAUAAGAUCUACGAAAAAGUCAAUGCGCGCGUAUCUGUCAAAUGUACGGUUAAAGGGUUAUUCCGCAUUUUUUGCCGAUCCGCACACAUUGGAAUUUCGCUAACUCCUCCGAAGGCUUUCGUUCCACCGGCACCACAUUUGCUCAGGCCAAUCUACACCCCAUGGCCAUUAAAAGUUAUUCAAAUCAUGACGCUGCACCCCACGGUUUAGGUUCUAGGGGGCGCCAAAAAUAACCCUAAAAUCCACAUAUUUAAAAGUCUUAUAACUUUUUAUUUUUGCCCUCACUGGCCUCCAAGUUUUCUAGGAUGAUGCAAUGUCCAGCCAUCAACACAUUUGUGAAGGAAUUUUUACUCCCCAAAAGAGCGCCCCCCAUGGCAGGAGAAAAAAGUCAAUUUUUUCUUGUCCCCUAAGGUGAAAAUACACAUUGUUGAGUGUAACACCUGUACGCUUUGGCAAAAUGACACAAAAAUUGACACACACAUGUGUCUCUAUAAGAUCUACGAAAAAGUCAAUGCGCGCGUAUCUGUCAAAUGUACGGUUAAAGGGUUAUUCUGCAUUUUUUGCCGAUCCGCACACAUUGGAAUUUCGCUAACUCCUCCGAAGGCUUUCGUUCCACCGGCACCACAUUUGCUCAGGCCAAUCUACACCCCAUGGCCAUUAAAAGUUAUUCAAAUCAUGACGCUGCAUCCCACGGUUUAGGUUCUAGGGGGCGCCAAAGAUAACCCUAAAAUCCACAUAUUUAAAAGUCUUAUAACUUUUUAUUUUUGUCCUCACUGGCCUCCAAGUUUUCUAGGAUGAUGCAAUGUCCAGCCAUCAACACAUUUGUGAAGGAAUUUUUACUCCCCAAAAGAGCGCCCCCCCAUGGCAGGAGAAAAAAGUCAAUUUUUUCUUGUCCCCUAAGGUGGAAAUUCACACUAUUGACUGUCACGCCUGUACGCUUUAUCAUAUUGACACAAAAAUUGACACACCUAUGUAUCUCAAUAAGAUCUACAAAAAAGUCAAUUCGCGCGUAUCUGUCAAAUGUACGGUUUAAGGGCUAUUUUGCAUUUUUUGCCGAUUCGCACACAUUGGAAUGUGGCUAACUCCUCCUAAGGCUUUCGUCCCUCUGACACCAAAUUUGCUCAGGCCAAUCUACACCCCAUGGCCAUUCAAAGUUGUAAAAAUCAUGACGCUGCACCCCACGGUUUACGUUCUAGGGGGCGCCAAAAAUGACCCAAAAAUCCACAUUCUUAAAAGAAUCCACAUCCCCCCUAUGGCAGGAGAAAAAGUCAAGUUUUUCCUGCCCAUCGCUCAAUGGCUCAAUCGCAUUGCUCUCCAGGCAACACCGUAAGGAGGAGCAACCUGGCAUUUCGAUAUAUCAUAGCUGUGUUUGUGCCCUCACUCAUGGUCCAGACUUUUUUCAAAUAGGACAUGAAGUUUGUCUGCAGCGAGUGUUUUGGUAGAAACUGCGCCUCCCAUUCAUUAUAAUGGGAAAUGACCACAGACAAGUGCGCACACCAUCUUUGGUUCUUGAGUGUGACUCGAUCGGGACGGGGAGGCGGUCGCACUGGGGGCGGCGCGACGCGGCUCGGGCCCGACAGUGCCCCACCGGGGCCCUAGUUCUUUGUUUCUUUCUUUCUUCUUUUUCCUCCCCUUUGAACUGGAAAAUGGCCCACUUCCCACUGGCGAAAACUCAGGAAAUUUGGCAGGACGACCGGGCCUGGUGAAAAAUUUGAUAUUCCGAAUUCGCCCAAACAAGAAAAUGCAAAAUGGCUCCAUAGCGCCCCCUAAGGUGAAAAUUCACACUAUUGACUGUCACGCCUGUACGCUUUGUCAAAAUGACACAAAAAUUGACACACACAUGUAUCUCAAUAAGAUCUACAAAAAAGUCAGUGCGGGCGUAUCUGUCUAAUGUACGGUUAAAGGGUUAUUUCGCAUUUUUUGCCGAUCCGCACACAUUGGAAUUUCGCUAACUCCUCCGAAGGCUUUCGUUCCACCGGCACCACAUUUGCUCAGGCCAAUCUACACCCCAUGGCCAUUAAAAGUUAUUCAAAUCAUGACGCUGCACCCCACGGUUUAGGUUCUAGGGGGCGCCAAAGAUAACCCUAAAAUCCACAUUUUUAAAUGUCUUAUAACUUUUUAUUUUUGCCCUCACUGGCCUCCAAGUUUUCUAGGAUGAUGCAAUGUCCAGCCAUCAACACAUUUGUGAAGGAAUUUUUACUCCCCAAAAGAGCGCCCCCCAUGGCAGGAGAAAAAAGUUCAUUUUUUCUUGUCCCAUAAGGUGAAAAUUCACACUAUUGACUGUCACGCCUGUACGCUUUGUCAAAAUGACACAAAAAUUGACACACACAUGUAUCUCAAUAAGAUCUACAAAAAAGUCAGUGCGGGCGUAUCUGUCUAAUGUACGGUUAAAGGGUUAUUUCGCAUUUUUUGCCGAUCCGCACACAUUGGAAUUUCGCUAACUCCUCCGAAGGCUUUCGUUCCACCGGCACCACAUUUGCUCAGGCCAAUCUACACCCCAUGGCCAUUAAAAGUUAUUCAAAUCAUGACGCUGCACCCCACGGUUUAGGUUCUAGGGGGCGCCAAAGAUAACCCUAAAAUCCACAUUCUUAAAUGUUUUAUAACUUUUUAUUUUUGCCCUCACUGGCCUCCAAGUUUUCUAGGAUGAUGCAAUGUCCAGCCAUCAACACAUUUGUGAAGGAAUUUUUACUCCCCAAAAGAGCGCCCCCCCAUGGCAGGAGAAAAAAGUUCAUUUUUUCUUGUCCCAUAAGGUGAAAAUUCACACUAUUGACUGUCACGCCUGUACGCUUUGUCAAAAUGACACAAAAAUUGACACACACAUGUAUCUCAAUAAGAUCUACAAAAAAGUCAAUGCGCGCGUAUCUGUCAAAUGUACGGUUAAAGGGUUAUUCCGCAUUUUUUGCCGAUUCGCACACAUUGGAAUUUCGCUAACUCCUCCGAAGGCUUUCGUUCCACCGGCACCAAAUUUGCUCAGGCCAAUCUACACCCCAUGGCCAUUAAAAGUUAUUCAAAUCUUGACGCUGCACCCCAUGGUUUACGUUCUAGGGGGCGCCAAAGAUAACCCAAAAAUCCACAUUUUUAAAAGUCUUAUAACUUUUUAUUUUUGUCCUCACUGGCCUCCAAGUUUUCUAGGAUGAUGCAAUGUCCAGCCAUCAACACAUUUGUGAAGGAAUUUUUACUCCCCAAAAGAGCGCCCCCCCAUGGCAGAAGAAAAAAGUCCAUUUUUUCUUGUCCCCUAAGGUGAAAAUACACAUUGUUGAGUGUCACGCCUAUACGCUUUGUCAAAAUGACACAAAAAUUGACACACACAUGUAACUCAAUAAGAUCUACGAAAAAGUCAAUGCGCGCGUAUCUGUCAAAUGUACGGUUAAAGGGUUAUUCCGCAUUUUUUGCCGAUCCGCACACAUUGGAAUGUGGCUAACUCCUCCUAAGGCUUUCGUUCCACCGGCACCACAUUUGCUCAGGCCAAUCUACACCCCAUGGCCAUUAAAAGUUAUUCAAAUCAUGACGCUGCACCCCACGGUUUAGGUUCUAGGGGGCGCCAAAAAUAACCCUAAAAUCCACAUAUUUAAAAGUCUUAUAACUUUUUAUUUUUGCCCUCACUGGCCUCCAAGUUUUCUAGGAUGAUGCAAUGUCCAGCCAUCAACACAUUUGUGAAGGAAUUUUUACUCCCCAAAAGAGCGCCCCCCCAUGGCAGGAGAAAAAAGUCCAUUUUUUCUUGUCCCCUAAGGUGAAAAUACACAUUGUUGAGUGUAACACCUGUACGCUUUGGCAAAAUGACACAAAAAUUGACACACACAUGUAUCUCAAUAAGAUCUACGAAAAAGUCAAUGCGCGCGUAUCUGUCAAAUGUACGGUUAAAGGGUUAUUCCGCAUUUUUUGCCGAUCCGCACACAUUGGAAUUUCGCUAACUCCUCCGAAGGCUUUCGUUCCACCGGCACCACAUUUGCUCAGGCCAAUCUACACCCCAUGGCCAUUAAAAGUUAUUCAAAUCAUGACGCUGCACCCCACGGUUUAGGUUCUAGGGGGCGCCAAAAAUAACCCUAAAAUCCACAUAUUUAAAAGUCUUAUAACUUUUUAUUUUUGCCCUCACUGGCCUCCAAGUUUUCUAGGAUGAUGCAAUGUCCAGCCAUCAACACAUUUGUGAAGGAAUUUUUACUCCCCAAAAGAGCGCCCCCCAUGGCAGGAGAAAAAAGUCAAUUUUUUCUUGUCCCCUAAGGUGAAAAUACACAUUGUUGAGUGUAACACCUGUACGCUUUGGCAAAAUGACACAAAAAUUGACACACACAUGUGUCUCUAUAAGAUCUACGAAAAAGUCAAUGCGCGCGUAUCUGUCAAAUGUACGGUUAAAGGGUUAUUCUGCAUUUUUUGCCGAUCCGCACACAUUGGAAUUUCGCUAACUCCUCCGAAGGCUUUCGUUCCACCGGCACCACAUUUGCUCAGGCCAAUCUACACCCCAUGGCCAUUAAAAGUUAUUCAAAUCAUGACGCUGCAUCCCACGGUUUAGGUUCUAGGGGGCGCCAAAGAUAACCCUAAAAUCCACAUAUUUAAAAGUCUUAUAACUUUUUAUUUUUGUCCUCACUGGCCUCCAAGUUUUCUAGGAUGAUGCAAUGUCCAGCCAUCAACACAUUUGUGAAGGAAUUUUUACUCCCCAAAAGAGCGCCCCCCCAUGGCAGGAGAAAAAAGUCAAUUUUUUCUUGUCCCCUAAGGUGGAAAUUCACACUAUUGACUGUCACGCCUGUACGCUUUAUCAUAUUGACACAAAAAUUGACACACCUAUGUAUCUCAAUAAGAUCUACAAAAAAGUCAAUUCGCGCGUAUCUGUCAAAUGUACGGUUUAAGGGCUAUUUUGCAUUUUUUGCCGAUUCGCACACAUUGGAAUGUGGCUAACUCCUCCUAAGGCUUUCGUCCCUCUGACACCAAAUUUGCUCAGGCCAAUCUACACCCCAUGGCCAUUCAAAGUUGUAAAAAUCAUGACGCUGCACCCCACGGUUUACGUUCUAGGGGGCGCCAAAAAUGACCCAAAAAUCCACAUUCUUAAAAGAAUCCACAUCCCCCCUAUGGCAGGAGAAAAAGUCAAGUUUUUCCUGCCCAUCGCUCAAUGGCUCAAUCGCAUUGCUCUCCAGGCAACACCGUAAGGAGGAGCAACCUGGCAUUUCGAUAUAUCAUAGCUGUGUUUGUGCCCUCACUCAUGGUCCAGACUUUUUUCAAAUAGGACAUGAAGUUUGUCUGCAGCGAGUGUUUUGGUAGAAACUGCGCCUCCCAUUCAUUAUAAUGGGAAAUGACCACAGACAAGUGCGCACACCAUCUUUGGUUCUUGAGUGUGACUCGAUCGGGACGGGGAGGCGGUCGCACUGGGGGCGGCGCGACGCGGCUCGGGCCCGACAGUGCCCCACCGGGGCCCUAGUUCUUUGUUUCUUUCUUUCUUCUUUUUCCUCCCCUUUGAACUGGAAAAUGGCCCACUUCCCACUGGCGAAAACUCAGGAAAUUUGGCAGGACGACCGGGCCUGGUGAAAAAUUUGAUAUUCCGAAUUCGCCCAAACAAGAAAAUGCAAAAUGGCUCCAUAGCGCCCCCUAAGGUGAAAAUUCACACUAUUGACUGUCACGCCUGUACGCUUUGUCAAAAUGACACAAAAAUUGACACACACAUGUAUCUCAAUAAGAUCUACAAAAAAGUCAGUGCGGGCGUAUCUGUCUAAUGUACGGUUAAAGGGUUAUUUCGCAUUUUUUGCCGAUCCGCACACAUUGGAAUUUCGCUAACUCCUCCGAAGGCUUUCGUUCCACCGGCACCACAUUUGCUCAGGCCAAUCUACACCCCAUGGCCAUUAAAAGUUAUUCAAAUCAUGACGCUGCACCCCACGGUUUAGGUUCUAGGGGGCGCCAAAGAUAACCCUAAAAUCCACAUUUUUAAAUGUCUUAUAACUUUUUAUUUUUGCCCUCACUGGCCUCCAAGUUUUCUAGGAUGAUGCAAUGUCCAGCCAUCAACACAUUUGUGAAGGAAUUUUUACUCCCCAAAAGAGCGCCCCCCAUGGCAGGAGAAAAAAGUUCAUUUUUUCUUGUCCCAUAAGGUGAAAAUUCACACUAUUGACUGUCACGCCUGUACGCUUUGUCAAAAUGACACAAAAAUUGACACACACAUGUAUCUCAAUAAGAUCUACAAAAAAGUCAGUGCGGGCGUAUCUGUCUAAUGUACGGUUAAAGGGUUAUUUCGCAUUUUUUGCCGAUCCGCACACAUUGGAAUUUCGCUAACUCCUCCGAAGGCUUUCGUUCCACCGGCACCACAUUUGCUCAGGCCAAUCUACACCCCAUGGCCAUUAAAAGUUAUUCAAAUCAUGACGCUGCACCCCACGGUUUAGGUUCUAGGGGGCGCCAAAGAUAACCCUAAAAUCCACAUUCUUAAAUGUUUUAUAACUUUUUAUUUUUGCCCUCACUGGCCUCCAAGUUUUCUAGGAUGAUGCAAUGUCCAGCCAUCAACACAUUUGUGAAGGAAUUUUUACUCCCCAAAAGAGCGCCCCCCAUGGCAGGAGAAAAAAGUUCAUUUUUUCUUGUCCCAUAAGGUGAAAAUUCACACUAUUGACUGUCACGCCUGUACGCUUUGUCAAAAUGACACAAAAAUUGACACACACAUGUAUCUCAAUAAGAUCUACAAAAAAGUCAAUGCGCGCGUAUCUGUCAAAUGUACGGUUAAAGGGUUAUUCCGCAUUUUUUGCCGAUUCGCACACAUUGGAAUUUCGCUAACUCCUCCGAAGGCUUUCGUUCCACCGGCACCAAAUUUGCUCAGGCCAAUCUACACCCCAUGGCCAUUAAAAGUUAUUCAAAUCUUGACGCUGCACCCCAUGGUUUACGUUCUAGGGGGCGCCAAAGAUAACCCAAAAAUCCACAUUUUUAAAUGUCUUAUAACUUUUUAUUUUUGCCCUCACUGGCCUCCAAGUUUUCUAGGAUGAUGCAAUGUCCAGCCAUCAACACAUUUGUGAAGGAAUUUUUACUCCCCAAAAGAGCGCCCCCCCAUGGCAGGAGAAAAAAGUUCAUUUUUUCUUGUCCCAUAAGGUGAAAAUUCACACUAUUGACUGUCACGCCUGUACGCUUUGUCAAAAUGACACAAAAAUUGACACACACAUGUAUCUCAAUAAGAUCUACAAAAAAGUCAGUGCGGGCGUAUCUGUCUAAUGUACGGUUAAAGGGUUAUUUCGCAUUUUUUGCCGAUCCGCACACAUUGGAAUUUCGCUAACUCCUCCGAAGGCUUUCGUUCCACCGGCACCACAUUUGCUCAGGCCAAUCUACACCCCAUGGCCAUUAAAAGUUAUUCAAAUCAUGACGCUGCACCCCACGGUUUAGGUUCUAGGGGGCGCCAAAGAUAACCCUAAAAUCCACAUUCUUAAAUGUUUUAUAACUUUUUAUUUUUGCCCUCACUGGCCUCCAAGUUUUCUAGGAUGAUGCAAUGUCCAGCCAUCAACACAUUUGUGAAGGAAUUUUUACUCCCCAAAAGAGCGCCCCCCCAUGGCAGGAGAAAAAAGUUCAUUUUUUCUUGUCCCAUAAGGUGAAAAUUCACACUAUUGACUGUCACGCCUGUACGCUUUGUCAAAAUGACACAAAAAUUGACACACACAUGUAUCUCAAUAAGAUCUACAAAAAAGUCAAUGCGCGCGUAUCUGUCAAAUGUACGGUUAAAGGGUUAUUCCGCAUUUUUUGCCGAUUCGCACACAUUGGAAUUUCGCUAACUCCUCCGAAGGCUUUCGUUCCACCGGCACCAAAUUUGCUCAGGCCAAUCUACACCCCAUGGCCAUUAAAAGUUAUUCAAAUCUUGACGCUGCACCCCAUGGUUUACGUUCUAGGGGGCGCCAAAGAUAACCCAAAAAUCCACAUUUUUAAAAGUCUUAUAACUUUUUAUUUUUGUCCUCACUGGCCUCCAAGUUUUCUAGGAUGAUGCAAUGUCCAGCCAUCAACACAUUUGUGAAGGAAUUUUUACUCCCCAAAAGAGCGCCCCCCAUGGCAGAAGAAAAAAGUCCAUUUUUUCUUGUCCCCUAAGGUGAAAAUACACAUUGUUGAGUGUCACGCCUAUACGCUUUGUCAAAAUGACACAAAAAUUGACACACACAUGUAACUCAAUAAGAUCUACGAAAAAGUCAAUGCGCGCGUAUCUGUCAAAUGUACGGUUAAAGGGUUAUUCCGCAUUUUUUGCCGAUCCGCACACAUUGGAAUGUGGCUAACUCCUCCUAAGGCUUUCGUUCCACCAGCACCACAUUUGCUCAGGCCAAUCUACACCCCAUGGCCAUUAAAAGUUAUUCAAAUCAUGACGCUGCACCCCACGGUUUAGGUUCUAGGGGGCGCCAAAUAUAACCUUAAAAUCCACAUAUUUAAAAGUCUUAUAACUUUUUAUUUUUGUCCUCACUGGCCUCCAAGUUUUCUAGGAUGAUGCAAUGUCCAGCCAUCAACACAUUUGUGAAGGAAUUUUUACUCCCCAAAAGAGCGCCCCCCCAUGGCAGGAGAAAAAAGUCCAUUUUUUCUUGUCCCCUAAGGUGAAAAUACAUAUUGUUGAGAUUCACGCCUAUACGCUUUGUCAUAUUGACACAAAAUUUGACAAUCACGUGCCUUGCCUGGUAUCAUUUUUUUCAGCACAACCUCACCUGUGCGAAUUUACAGUUAUUUUAUCAUGUUGACAUACUGAAUUUACACAAUGGACCCAAAUUCACACACAAAACAUAAAAUCCGAGUGGAAAAAAGUAAAAUUUUUACUGUGAAAACCACAAAUAUGUGUGAUGAACUGUUUUUAAAACUUAAACUUCAAAUAAAAAUUGUAAACUUCAAAACAUAUGCAAAUUUUUAACAAAGAACAUAGUGAUUUACCUCUAUUUACAUCAAAAUGCAGGCAAUGGCCCAGGCGUUCUUUGUAAAAUUAUUUACAAAACACUGUAUAGUCUCACAAAUGUCACUUUUUAUUUAUGCCACUACAAAAAACAUGAUGUAAAUGAUGCAUGAUGUAAAACAUGAUGUAAAAAACUUGUGUAGAUCCUCCUCUAUGUCAGUCCAUGUGUAAUUUUUCCAUAAUUCUUUGUUUUUUGCAGCAUUUUUGUUAGUGUAACUGCAGAUUGUGCUGACAGUGUCUAUGGCACAAAAAAAAAAAAAAAAUUAAAAUGCCUUAACAUGAACCCCUGGUGGUCUCUGAGGGUGAAACCUGCUAACUGCUGCAGCUCUGUCAGCUUCAGUCUCCCAUGCAGAGCUCUGAGCGCAUGUGUGGCUCUGCACCCUUAGCAGCGUUGCUAACUCCUCAGUAAGGAAAGCCUGCUUCAUGUCAGAGUCUCUAAACUCCAGAAGAAGUCGAUAAAAGUCCCUUUCUUUCUAAAAAAAAGUCGUUAGGGGGUCUGAAAAGUCAUUGAAUCUAACAACAAAGUCGCUAGGUUUGCAACUACGUGUCCCAGACUGCAUCCCUGCUGAGAGUCCCUCCCUCGCUUCUCAUGUUGCAGGAAGAACGUAAGCGCCCUCCCCUUGUCAAUCAGUCACCAUAUAAUUUUGGAUUGGUUGUUGUGGUGAAGUUUUCCACCAAUAGGAGAGAUGUUGUGGUGUGUUUUUUUUUUUCUUUUGGCAAGCCUUUUCCGCCUGUAAGACCUGUCGCUAAUGUCUGCAUGCUAUGUUUUCCUGUCUCAUACAGCGCGAUCGAGCGCCGAACGUGAUCAAAAUAAGCAGAAAAAAAGUAUCGCGGACAUAAUUUAUCAUAACUCUGGUUUUAUUUGGCCUAUCAACACAAUUUAAAAACUGGUAUAUAGGUUGAGGUCCUCACUUUUUAGAUUAGUUGAAACGGAUGCUGCGUCCGAACUGCCCGCUCGGAUACUACAUGCUACUGCUACGUGCUACUGCUAGAUCCUACACCUACAUACUAAAAACGUUGGCCCUAUUCGGACACACUACACGAGCGGUGGGGAAAGACGACCCCCGCAGGCAGAGAGUAGGUACUGCGCCCGUGCAGACAGUGGUAACUGAAGCCCCUCAUCUGCGGGCCUGGCUGUAGUACUGCAGCUGUGCAGUUUCAUGAUGGAAUAAGUGAGCUUUACCUCCAUGAUGUCGCCACUUGCUCAUAAAAUGAUUACUUGGGCAAAUAUGACACCAUGACAUGACAAAGAAAUACAACCGCACAUUUUUUAGGACAGUGUGUGAAGUUACAUGAAACUUACAUCUGUACUGCUGCGGUCCCGCCUGCUGCUGCUGCUGCUCCGACAUGGUGCGCGCUGCUGUGGCCAGCCGGCGUUCGCGACGCACCUAAAUAGGCAGCAGAUGGUGGCGCUAGCAUCACAUGCGCUUCUACAACUUUUAAGAGGACGAAGAAGAAGCCCGCGGUGCAUUUUGGGUCAGUAACAUGCCCGUAGGAUGCACCGAGACCAACCUACAAUGUGGGCGUGUCUAGCAUCUGAAGUAGUAUCUGAAGUAGCAUGCUACUCGCUCCGGUGGCCAAUUCGGACAUGCUAGAUACUACUUCGACUACUACUUCGACUACUACUUGGCAAUUCGGACGCAGCUGGAGAGUCAACGAGGCUCCGUCUUGCAGCUACAUCCGGUUAAAUAUGUCAUGUGACUUGAACGCUGGGGAGCGUCAAUCGACUGCAGAGCCAGCAGACAAAGUAGUUAUGGCCACUGAGAGGCACACAUUUGUCAUAUGCUAUAAUCCUAACAUAUUUGAAUGCUUUUUCUAUUUAAACCUAAUGGAUCUAAGGUUUGACCUUCAAAAUUUAGGAAGAAUAUGUUUUUGCAGUAAUUACCCCCUUAAACAACCAGAGGUCCUUUCCUAAAGUUUAUGGAAAUUUUAGUGAAGGCCUUGGUUUCUUUCCUUGCAAAAUGUAUAGAAAUAAUAAAGCUAAAUACCAUAAAAUGGUCUUGGUGUAUUAGCAGUGAUAUAAAAUAGUGGUUUGAAUAUGAAUGAACAACAAAAAAAACAUCAACAGAGCCUUUUUGAGUUGGGAUUCUUACACAAAAACAGACAUAGAUAGACAUCUGAAGGGUAAGGGAAUGAUCAGCCCUCCUAACUCUCAGAUGAAUCUUCAAAAUUCACCUCAGAAAUAUGCUCAUUAUUCUUCUCAGAGUACUACAAGAUAUACACACACACACACAGACACAACACACACACACACACACACACACACACACACACACACACACACACACACACACACACACACACUCAGAGUCUGUUUUUUAGCACCUGCAAAAACAUGCUAUUUACAUAUUUGACAAGAAUGCAGAGGCUCCUUUUGCCCCUGAAAAAAAUCUAAUUUCAAACACAACUUGACUGCUCAUUUCUCCAAAACACAACCAUGAAGCCCUAUGCAAACCUGAAGCAGGCAGUUGGUGCAUGUGUACAGUAACCUGAGGGGAGUGAGGUGACUGCUUCUGAGGAGAACAUGAGCAGUGAAGCUUCACCUUAGAGCCAGAACAGGGACGUGCACAUAAUUAUACAGGGGCAGGGGCUCAAGUCUUUUCCAGUCAUUUAUACAAUAUGGAAAUUAAUGUGAAAUUAAAAAACAAAGUAUUAAUAGAAAGGUAAUGACUGUCCUGUGUAGAUGACAGUGAUAUCCAAUAGGCUAGGCACUCACGAGGCUGGCUGUGGCAAGUGUAAGUGAAAGCAACACGCACUGGCAGGAAGAACAGCAAACGCCGAUGAAGGAAAAGGGUCUUUGCAGUGAUAGGCGUUACCAGAGAGGGCGAUGGCCAGAGGACGCGAAUGGGACGGGGAGGCAGCGCGUUGGGGGGGGCCGCGCGACACGGCUCGGGCCCGCCAGUGCCCCAACGGGGCCCUAGUUCUUUGUUUCUUUCUUUCUUCUUUUUCCUCCCCUUUGAACUGGAAAAUGGCCCACUUCCCACUGGCGAAAACUCAGGAAAUUUGGCAGGACGACCGGGCCUGGUGAAAAAUUUGAUAUUCCGAAGUCGCCGAAACAAGAAAAUGCAAAAUGGCUCCAUAGCGCCCCCUAAGGUGAAAAUUCACACUAUUGACUGUCACGCCUGUACGCUUUGUCAAAAUGACACAAAAAUUGACACACACAUGUAUCUCAAUAAGAUCUACAAAAAAGUCAGUGCAGGCGUAUCUGUCAAAUGUACGGUUAAAGGGUUAUUUCGCAUUUUUUGCCGAUCCGCACACAUUGGAAUUUCGCUAACUCCUCCGAAGGCUUUCGUUCCACCGGCACCACAUUUGCUCAGGCCAAUCUACACCCCAUGGCCAUUAAAAGUUAUUCAAAUCAUGACGCUGCACCCCACGGUUUAGGUUCUAGGGGGCGCCAAAGAUAACCCUAAAAUCCACAUUUUUAAAAGUCUUAUAACUUUUUAUUUUUGCCCUCACUGGCCUCCAAGUUUUCUAGGAUGAUGCAAUGUCCAGCCAUCAACACAUUUGUGAAGGAAUUUUUACUCCUCAAAAGAGCGCCCCCCCAUGGCAGGAGAAAAAAGUCCAUUUUUUUCUUGUCCCCUAAGGUGAAAAUACACACUAUUGACUGUCACGCCUGUACGCUUUGUCAAAAUGACACAAAAAUUGACACACACAUGUAUCUCAAUAAGAUCUACAAAAAAGUCAGUGCGGGCGUAUCUGUCAAAUGUACGGUUAAAGGGUUAUUUCGCAUUUUUUGCCGAUCCGCACACAUUGGAAUUUCGCUAACUCCUCCGAAGGCUUUCGUUCCACCGGCACCACAUUUGCUCAGGCCAAUCUACACCCCAUGGCCAUUAAAAGUUAUUCAAAUCAUGACGCUGCACCCCACGGUUUAGGUUCUAGGGGGCGCCAAAGAUAACCCUAAAAUCCACAUUUUUAAAAGUCUUAUAACUUUUUAUUUUUGCCCUCACUGGCCUCCAAGUUUUCUAGGAUGAUGCAAUGUCCAGCCAUCAACACAUUUGUGAAGGAAUUUUUACUCCCCAAAAGAGCGCCCCCCCAUGGCAGGAGAAAAAAGUCCAUUUUUUCUUGUCCCCUAAGGUGAAAAUACACAUUGUUGAGUGUUACGCCUGUACGCUUUGGCAAAAUGACACAAAAAUUGACACACACAUGUAUCUCAAUACGAUCUACAAAAAAGUCCAUGCGCGCGUAUCUGUCUAAUGUACGGUUAAAGGGUUAUUCCGCAUUUUUUGCCGAUUCGCACACAUUGGAAUUUCGCUAACUCCUCCGAAGGCUUUCGUUCCACCGGCACCACAUUUGCUCAGGCCAAAUUACACCCCAUGGCCAUUAAAAGUUAUUCAAAUCAUGACGCUGCACCCCACGGUUUACGUUCUAGGGGGCGCCAAAGAUAACCCAAAAAUCCACAUUUUUAAAAGUCUUUUAACUUUUUAUUUUUGUCCUCACUGGCCUCCAAGUUUUCUAGGAUGAUGCAAUGUCCAGCCAUCAACACAUUUGUGAAGGAAUUUUUACUCCCUAAAAGAGCGCCCCCCAUGGCAGGAGAAAAAAGUCCAUUUUUUCUUGUCCCCUAAGGUGAAAAUACACAUUGUUGACUGUCACGCCUGUACGCUUUGGCAAAAUGACACAAAAAUUGACAAUCAUGUGUAUCUCAAUUAGAUCUACGAAAAAGUCAAAGAGCGCGUAUCUGUAUAAUGUACGGUAAAAGGGCUAUUUUGCAUUUUUUGCCAAUUCGCACACAUUGGAAUUUCGCUAACUCCUCCUAAGGCCUUCGUCCCACUGACACCAAAUUUGCUCAGGCCAAUCUACACUCCAUGGCCAUUCAAAGUUGUAAAAAUCAUGACGCUGCACCCCACGGUUUACGUUUUAGGGGGCGCCAAAGAUGACCCAAAUAUACAUUACAGUAGACAAAGUAGUUUUGCCCACUGAGUGGCGCCAAAGGGACUUGUCUGUGGAGUCUGUGAGUCACUAUUGGCCGUUUUUGACUACUUUAGAUUUUACCUUUAUAUUUCCUCUUACAAAAUUUUUACCUUGCCUUGCCUGGUAUCAUUUUUUUCAGCACAACCUCACCUGUGUCAAUUUACAGUUAUUUUAUCAUUUUGACAUACUAUAUUUACACAUUGGACCCAAAUUCACACACAAAACAUAAAAUCCGAGUGGAAAAAAGUAACGUUUUUACUGUGAAAACCACAAAUAUGUGUGAUGAACUGUUUUUAAAACUUAAACUUCAAAUAAAAAUUGUAAACUUCAAAACAUAUGCAAAUUUUUAACAAAGAACAUAGUAAUUUACCUCUAUUGACAUCAAAAUGCAGGCAAUGGCCCAGGUGUUCUUUGUAAAAUUAUUUACAAAACACUGUAUAGUCUCACAAAUGUCACUUUUUAUUUAUGCCACUACAAAAAAACAUGAUGUAAAUGAUGCAUGAUGUAAAACAUGAUGUAAAAAACUUGUGUAGAUCCUCCUCUAUGUUAGUCCAUGUGUAAUUUUUCCAUAAUUCUUUGUUUUUUGCAGCAUUUUUGUUAGUGUAACUGCAGAUUGUGCUGACAGUGUCUAUGGCAAAAAAAAAAAAAAAAAAAACUGAAAAUGCCUCAACAUGAACCCCUGGUGGUCUCUGAGGGUGAAACCUGCUAACUGCUGCAGCUCUGUCAGCUUCAGUCUCCCAUGCAGAGCUCGGAGCGCAUGUGUGGCUCUGCACCCUUAGCAGUGUUGCUAACUCCUCAGUAAGGAAAGCCUGCUUCAUGUCAGAGUCUCUAAACUCCAGAAGAAGUCGAUAAAAGUCACUUUCUUUCUAAAAAAAAGUCGCUAGGGGGUCUGAAAAGUCAUUGAAUCUAACAACAAAGUCGCUAGGUUUGCAACUACGUGUCCCAGACUGCAUCCCUGCUGAGAGUCCCUCCCUCCCUUCUCAUAUUGCAGGAAGAACGUAAGUUCCCGCCCCUUGUCAAUCAGUCACCAUAUAAUUUUGGAUUGGUUGUUGUGGUGAAGUUUUCCACCAAUAGGAGAGAUGUUGUGGUGUGUUUUUUUUUCCUUUGGCAAGCCUUUUCCGCCUGUAAGACCUGUCGCUAAUGUCUGCAUGCUAUGUUUUCCUGUCUCAUACAGCGCGAUCGAGCGCCGAACGUGAUCAAAAUAAGCAGAAAACAAGUAUCGCGGACAUAAUUUAUCAUAACUCUGGUUUUAUUUGGCCUAUCAACACAAUUUAAAAACUGGUAUAUAGGUUGAGGUCCUCACUUUUGAGAUAAGUUGAAACGGAGAGUCAACGAGGCUCCGUCUUGCAGCUACAUCCGGUUAAAUAUGUCAUGUGACUUGAACGCACACACACACACACACACACACACACACACACAGACACACACACACACGCACACACACACACUCAGAGUCUGGUUUUUAGCACCUGCAAAAACAUGCUAUUUACAUAUUUGACAAGAAUGCAGAGGCUCCUUUUGCCCCUGAAAAAAAUCAAAUUUCAAACACAACUUGACUGGUCAUUUCUCCAAAAGACAACCAUGAAGCUCCAUCCAAACCUGAAGCAGGCAGUUGGUGCAUGUGUACAGUAACCUGAGGGGAGUGAGGUGACUGCUUCUGAGGAGAACAUGAGCAGUGAAGAUUCACCUUAGAGCUAAAACAGAGACGUGCACAUGAUUAUACAGGGGCAGGGGCUCAAGUUUUUUCCAGUUGUUUAUACAAUAUGGAAAUUAAUGUGAAAUUAAAAAACAAAGUAUUAAUAGAAAGGUAAUGACUGUCCUGUGUAGGUGACAGUGAUAUCCAAUAGGCUAGGCACUCACGAGGCUGGCUGUGGCAAGUGUAAGUGAAAGCAACACGCACUGGCAGGAAGAACAGCAAACGCAGAUGAAGGAAAAGGGUCUUUGCAGUGAUGGGCGUUACCAGAGAGGGCGACGGCCAGAGGACGCGAAUGGGACGGGGAGGCAGCGCGUUGGGGGGGGGACGCGACACAGCUCGGGCCCGCCAGUGCCCCAACGGGGUCCUAGUUUUUUUUUCUUUUUCUUUUUUUUUUGUCUAACUAACUCCCAAAGGUCUGAAACAUGUUCCUUAAAAAAUAUUGGACAGUUAUUUUAACCCUAACGCCAAAAACCUUAAACCUAACCCUAGCCCCAAAACCUAAUACCCGGGUAUUUCCUUCAGGAAGCCCGAACACCCCAAAUAUUUUUUUUUCAUUUAUCUUUUUUUUUUUUGUCUAACUAAUUCCCAAAGGUUGGAAAAUAGUUCCUACAAAGGUUUUGGACAGUGAUUUUAACCCUAACGCCAAAAACCUUAAACCUAACCCUAGCCCCAAAACCUAAUACCCGGGUAUUACCUUCAGGAAGCCCGAACACCCCAAAUAUAUAUUUUUUAUUUUUCUUUUUUUUUUUGGUCUAACUUGCUCUCAAAGGUUGGAAAAGAGUUCCUACAAAGGUUUUGGACAUUGAUUUUAACCCUAACACCAAAAACCUUAAACAUUACCCUAGCCAGGAAACCUAGUAUUACCUUCAAGAAGCCCGAACACCCAAAAAAAAUUGUUUUUCAUUUUACAUUUUUUUUGGUGUAACCAACUCCAAAAUGUCUGAAACAUGUUCCUAAAAAGGUUUUGGACAGUGAUUUUAACCCUUACGCCAAAAACCUUAAUCCUUACCCUAGCCCCAUAACCUAAUACCCGGGUAUUACCUUCAGGAAGCCCGAACACCCCAAAUAUUUUUUUUUCAUUUAUCUUUUUUUUUUUUGUCUAACUAACUCCAAAAGGUUGGAAAAGACUUCCUUCAAAAGACUUACUCCAAAAGGUUGGAAAAGACUUCCUACAAAGGUAAUACAAAGUAUUACCUUCAGGAAGCCCGAACACCCCAAAUAUUUUUUUUUAAUUUUACAUUUUUUUUUGGUGUUACCAACUGUAAAAGGUCUUAAACAUGUUCCUAAAAAGGUUUUGGACAGUGAUUUUAACCCUUACGCCAAAAACCUUAAACCUUACCCUAGCCCCAUAACCUAAUACCGGGGUAUUACCUUCAGGAAACCCGAACACCCCAAAUAUUUUUUUUUUCUUUUUCUUUUUUUUUUGUCUAACUAACUCCCAAAGGUCUGAAACAUGUUCCUGAAAAAAUAUUGGACAGUGAUUUUAACCCUAACGCCAAAAACCUUAAACCUAACCCUAGCCCCAAAACCUAAUACCCGGGUAUUUCCUUCAGGAAGCCCGAACACCCCAAAUAUUUUUUUUUCAUUUAUCUUUUUUUUUGUCUAACUAAUUCCCAAAGGUUGGAAAAGAGUUCCUACAAAGGUUUUGGACAGUGAUUUUAACCCUAACGCCAAAAACCUUAAACCUUACCCUAGCCCCAAAACCUAAUACCUUGGUAUUACCUUCAGGAAGCCCGAACACCCCAAAUAUUUUCUUUUCAUUUUUCGUUUUUUUUUUGGUCUAACUAACUCCAAAAGGUUGGAAAAUAGUUCCUUAAAAAAUAUUGGACAGUGAUUUUAACCCUAACGCCAAAAACCUUAAACUUUACUAUAGCCCCAUAACCUAAUACCCGGGUAUGACCUUCAGGAAGCUUGAACACCCCAAAUAUUUUCUUUUCAUUUUACAUUUUUUUUUGGUGUAACCUACUCCAAAAGGUCUGAAACAUGUUCCUAAAAAGGUUUUGGACAGUGAUUUUAACCCUAACACCAAAAACCUUAAACCUUACCCUAGCCCCAAAACCUAAUACCCGGGUAUUACCUUCAGCAAGCUUGAACACCCCAAAUAUUUUUUUUUAUUUUACAUUUUUUUUUUGGUGUUACCAACUCCAAAAGGUCUGAAACAUGUUCCUAAAAAGGUUUUGGACGGUGAUUUUAACCCUAACGCCAAAAACCUUAAACCUUACCCUAGCCCCAUAACCUAAUACCUGGGUAUUUCCUUCAGGAAGCCCGAAGACCCCAAUUAUAUUUUUUUCUUUUUUUUUUUUUUUGGUCUAACUAACUCCAAAAGGUUGGAAAAGAGUUCCUACAAAGGUUUUGGACAGUGAUUUUAACCCUAACACCAAAAACCUUAAACCUUACCCUAGCCCCAAAACCUAAUACCCGGGUAUUACCUUCAGGAAGCCCGAACACCCCAAAAAUUUUUUUUUCAUUUAUCUUAUUUUUUUUGUCUAACUAAUUCCCAAAGGUUGGAAAAGAGUUCCUACAAAGGUUUUGGACAGUGAUUUUUACCCUGACGCCGAAAAACCUUAAACCUUACCCUAGCUCCAUAACCUAAUACCCGGGUAUUACCUUCAGGAAGCCCGAACACCCCAAAUAUAUAUUUUUUAUUUUUCUUUUUGUUUUGGUCUAACUUGCUCUCAAAGGUUGGAAAAGAGUUCCUACAAAGGUUUUGGACAUUGAUUUUAACCCUAACGCCAAAAACCUAAAACAUUACCCUAGCCAAGAAACCUAGUAUUACCUUCAGGAAGCUUGAACACCCCAAAUAUUUUUUUAUCAUUUUACAUUUUUUUUGGUGUAACCAACUCUAAAAGGUCUUAAACAUGUUCCUAAAAAGGUUUUGGACAGUGAUUUUAACCCUUACGCCAAAAACCUUAAACCCUUCCCUAGCCCCAUAACCUAAUACCUUGGUAUUACCUUCAGGAAGCCCGAACACCCCAAAUAUUUUUUUUUCAUUUUUUUUUUUUUUUUUGUCUAACUAACUCCAAAAGGUCUGAAACAUGUUCCUUAAAAAAUAUUGGACAGUGAUUUUAACCCUUACGCCAAAAACCUUAAACCUUACCCUAGCCCCAAAACCUAAUACCCGGGUAUUUCCUUCAGGAAGCCCGAACACCCCAAAUAUUUUUUUUUCAUUUUACAUUUUUUUUUGGUGUUACCAACUCCAAAAGGUCUGAAACAUGUUCCUAAAAAGGUUUUGGACAGUGAUUUUAACCCUAACGCCAAAAACCUUAAACCUUACCCUAGCCCCAUAACCUAAUACCUGGGUAUUUCCUUCAGGAAGCCCGGAGACCCCAAAUAUAUUUUUUUCUUUUUUUUUUUUUUUUGGUCUAACUAAAUCCAAAAGGUCUGAAAAGAGUUCCUACAAAGGUUUUGGACGGUGAUUUUAACACUAACGCCAAAAACCUUAAACCUAAUCCUAGCCCCAAAACCUAAUACCCGGGUAUUACCUUCAGGAAGCCCGAACACCCCAAAUAUUUUUUUUUUCAUUUUACAUUUUUUUUGUCUAACUAACUCCCAAAGGUCUGAAAGAUGUUCCUUAAAAAAUAUUGGACAGUGAUUUUAACCCUUACGCCAAAAACCUUAAACCUAACCCUAGCCCCA